ACAGAUUUAAGUUAAGUUUAAACUCUUGGUUUUCAAAACCAAAAAUUUUACUCUGUA
rnacentral:tRNA from 7 species